CCCUUUUUGAGGAUUUCUUUAGAAUCCGAUUUUAGGUAAAAUAAUUGGUUUUAUUUGAAAGUGAAAUUGAGAAUUUCAAGAGUAAAAUUGGAAGAAAUAAAUUAAAAAAAAAUGGAAAUAUUGCAUGUGGGGAUUUUAUCUGUAAAAAUUUGUAAACUGGAAUUAGGGAUUUAAUUGGAAUUUUUGGGUUUUAAUUUAAUCUAAGUUAGUGUAAUUUUAUUAAAAAAAAUAAAUAAUUGAGAGUUUAAGAUUUAAUUAACCCAACAGUCCUGUUAAAUUUAUUGUAUCUGAUUUCCUGGAGGUAUUGUUUAUCUGAGGAGCCAAUUGCUAGGCAGUGAAUGAUAGAUCUGUUUGUUCAGGAUCCUUUAGGAACUGAACGUAGUUCAUACCCUCGGCCAGGGGGUAUGAACUACAACGACCCGAGUGAAUUUUCAGUGGUUUAUUUGCACGUUAGUUUUAUGUUAUCUGCAUCUACGCCCAUUCACGUAGUAGAUUGGUUGUCUUACAUCUGGCUCUCAGGGAAUAGAUGACAGCGGCUACACACGUAGGUAUGGCAACAGCUAAACUAAAUAAAAGAAUGUUAAGCAAUAUAAAAGACUUAAAAAGAAGGAGUCGAUUCGUAUGCGUGUGUUUGUAUUUGCUUGUGAUUGAGGUUGAACCCUUUGAGGGACAUCUGUAUGAUUUAGCGAGGGACAACAGUGCUUUCUCAACAAAUAUCGAUAUCAGGUUAAACUUCUUCAAAGAGACCUAGGAGCUAGAGAGGGAUUCUUGGAAGUUAUCUUCUCAUCUUUGGUAUUUUGUAUUUUAGAGAGGUUGUAAAUAGAUAGGUUAUCAAACCUUGUAUAUUUAUGUUGAUAAUUAUAUGUCUCAAUUGUUUGUUUUUUCCAAGUAACUUUUUGUAUGAAUGUAUGUUUCCACUGUACUCUAAAUAGAUUAUUAUCUGCUCUUCGGAUGUGGGUGUCAAGCUGACACCAGGGCGUCCCACAUUUGUCAGUCGCCCCAAUGUCUUUAACUCGUCGUCCAUCACGUGUCACUCCUUACAUGCCGAUUACAUUCCACUACCAAUUAAUCGUUUUAGACUCCCUACCAGCUGGCUUCCACUGCCCACCAAUCGCAUUCUACCCCUUGUUGGUUGUUAUCCGCCUCUUGACCACUCGUCAUCCACCCCCCCUUGCUGCUUAUUGGUCACCUUCGUCUGCCACUCGCCAUCCGCCACCCACCACUAUCUACUUUCUUUUCCUCUCACCUUGCACUUCUCCGCUUCAAAACUAUUUCUUUUAUAGGCGAGGGAAGUUGUGGAGAUCAAUUUUCCAACUCGCUGAAACUAACAUCACACAUCUCCAACAUCUGCCCUUUAUCAGUCGCCCCAAUGCCCUUAACCCGUCGUCCGUCGAGCAUCAAUCCUCACAUGUCGAUCACAUUCCACUACCAACUAUCUUCCACCUCCCACCAAUCGCCUUUUUGCCCUUCGUUGGUCGUCAUCCGUCUUAUAUCCCUCGCUAGUUGCUGGUCACUUUUGUCUGCCACUCACCAUUUGCCACCCACCACCUAUCUGUUUUUUUUCUCUUAUCGGCUUGCACUUCUUCGCUUUAAGAUUUCUCUUUUUAUAGGCAACGGAAGCCGUGAAAAUUAAAUUUUCUCCCUAAAAAGCUUCCAAAAUUUCGGUGUAUUAAUUUUUACCUAUUCGCUGAAAAUCCGCACGAAGUCACUGACAUAUCUUUUUCAAUUGCGUGUACAACUUCUCCUUAUCUCUUUCUUGAUGGUAAUGGGUUGGAGCUAAUAUUACUCAUUCUUUGAUAUUUGCCCUUUGUUAGCCGCCCUAUUACUCUUAACCCGUCGUCCAUCGUACAUGACUUCUCACACGCCGAUUGCAUUUCACCACCAACUAAUUGCCUUCUGCCCCCUACUAGUUGUCUUCCUCCGUCUGUCAACCGCCUUCUACCCCUUGUUAGUCAUUAUCUGUCCCCUAACCACCCAUCCUCUACCCCUUGCUGGUUGCCGGUCACCUUUGUCUGCCACUUGCCAUCUCGCUUUAUACUUCUCCGCUUCAAGGCUUCCCCUUUUAUAUGAGGGAAGCUGUGAAGAUCAAUUUUUUGCCCAAAAAAUCUUCCAAAAAAAUGGUGAUAUGAUUUUCACCAUGCCGUUAAAAAUUCGCAAGAGGUGAUUGACAUAUAUUUUUCAGUUGCGUGUACAACUUCUCCUUGUCUUCUUCAAAAUGGUAAUCAGCUGGAACUAGCAUCACUCAUUCUCCAACCCUUUGUCAAUCGCUCCAUUGCCCUUAGCCCGUCAUUUGUCGCGCGUCACUCCUCGCAUGCCGAUUGCAUUCCACAACUAACUAAUUAUUUUUUGCCCGUUAAGAGCCGUAAAGAUCAAUUUUCAUGUCCAGAAAAUUUUUAAAAAUCCUGAUGUGAUCCCAGGU